rnacentral:rRNA from 1 species
AUUGAACGCUGGCGGCAGGCCUAACACAUGCAAGUCGAGCGGCUGAAGGGAGCUUGCUCCUGGUUUCAGCGGCGGACGGGUGAGUAAUGCCUAGGACUCUGCCUGGUAGUGGGGGAUAACGCCCGGAAACGGGCGCUAAUACCGCAUACGUCCUGAGGGCGAACGUGUGGGACCUUCGGACCUCACGCUUUCAGAUGAGCCUAGGUCGGGUUAGCUAGUUGGUGGGGUAAAGGCCUAACACGGCGACGAUCCGUAACUGGUCUGAGAGGAUGAUGAGUCACCCGGGAACUGAGACGAGGCCCAGACUCCUACGGGAGGGAGCAGUGGGGAAUAUUGGACAAUGGGCGAAAGCCUGAUCCAGCCAUGCGCCGUGUGUGAAGAAGGUCUUCGGAUUGUAAAGCACUUUAAGUUGGGAGGAAGGGCAGUAAGUUAAUACCUUGCUGUGUUGACGUUACCAACAGAAUAGGCACCGGCUAACUUCGUG